AUCUUAAAUUAACCCAAGGAAGAUAACCACAUUUAGUUGGUGAGAGUGAAAAAGCACAUUACACGUUUUCUACACUGAAUUUCCUUUAAAAACAGAAAUUUUCACAAAUUUCCUUGUUGUUUUAACUGUUAGUAUAAUUUUUCUUCCAUUUUGGGACAACCUACGUUAAGAGAAACUUCCUUCCCCACAGUGUACAAGAGGUGGCUGAAAACUGCAAUGGAAGUACAAUGCAGUACGGAGGUUUCUACAUAAUAAGUUCCCCUAAUAAAACACCUACAAAAGAAGCAUAGUGACCCUGCUUCUUUUUUCUCCUUCACCUAUAAUACUGUUGCUUCGUUGAGAUCAGUGCUUCUCUCUACAAAAGAAUUUCCAAACUUAUCGUAAUGCGUUGCCAGAGUUAAGGCCUAUGUCCAAAGCUUUAUUUUAAAAUGCUGGAGAGAACAGAAAGUGGAACUUAAUAUGCAUAGUAAAUAUAAGAAUAACAGAAGCAGGAUUUUGUAAGUCUAAAGAUAUUUUUAGGUUUGGAUACACUCAUUCCUCAUAAAAGAAAAAGGAAGGAAAAGGGCGUUGUUCAUUUUUUUAAAAGGAAUAAAGAACCGUCAAAUGAUUUUACCGGUUUGUCGCAUUAGCCUAAUUUGGAUAUAAUUCGAAAUUGUAUAAAAGGUAUCCAAUUUUUUCCUGCGUCUUGUAAGUCAAUCUCCGAUAAAUAAGAGAUUAAUGUGAAAAUAAUGCCUUCAUGAGAAACAACUUAUUUCAACCACAUCUCAUUCUCAGCAAUCACAGAGUUCCAUUAUAGACGUUGAUAAAAAAAAUAAUAUAAAGAAUAAGUGCAGCAAUUACUUCGUCCGGCUUCAAUUUGUCCUUUUUACAAAGUCAAAGUUUUCGAAUUGUCUUGAAGCAAACAACCCUACACAGAUCUGUCUGUCAUAGGUAACGCUUAAUAUCUCUUAGGAAAUGAAGUAUAACGACUGUGAUUUCCAAGCGCUUCAUCUUACCUUUUAACGAGAUUGGAUCAAGAGCCUUGGAAUAAUUUCGUUUCUCUUAAGUUUAAUUCCCAUCGUCCAUUCGCUGCUCUUUCUGAUAUAUGAUUAACGAUUUCUUUAAACAUCUCGGUGAAUACGAGAUUUGAACUCCUUCACUAUUUCCUUAGAAGCUUAAAUCCUCUUUCUAAGAAGUAAUUUUUGGCUGGCAACCAAGCAAGUCAUGCUCUAAAGUUUUAUGAUCGUUCAAAAAAAUAAUCCAACUAACGUCUUUGGCAUUUCGUCUAAUCAAACCUUGGAAGUCGCUUUUCAUCGACAAUUUCUUAGCUUAAACUUGACAAAUAGAUUACAUUUUUUCUACAAUAUUCAAGCAUUUCUUUAACAUUUUUUGGAACUAGUACUUUCAAGUAGGGUCCUUUACUUUUUUUUUUAAACAACGGACGAGCGCAGUUUUUGCACCCCAACAAGUAGCACUUCAAUCUUAACUUACCCACAACAACACCACGCCAUAAUUUGAA